rnacentral:lncRNA from 1 species
GGAACACUGGACAGCCACAUGUAAAAGAAUGAAAUUUGGCCAUUCUUUUUCACCAUUCACAAAAAUAAACUCAAAAUGGAUCAGACACCUAAAGGACUGCCAGUGCUCAAAACUGUGUUGGUACUCCUCCUUUGAAGAUGGAUGAACACACUGAAUAACCAUCUUUUUGUCUUGUCUUUUUGCAAGAGAAACUUGAAGUGUGAGACUGUUUUUCUUGGAUGGGCCAAAAAAGGUCUUCCUUUUUCACCUUCCCCUUCUCACCUACCGCCUACCUUGGUUUCCAAGAAGACUGCUCUGGACAGUGACUCUCACUUGGAUGUUUAAUUUCUGUGUGUCCUUGGAAAAAGGCGCCAGCCUUCCCCUUACUAGGUAAAGACGUCUUAUCUAGAAGCAGAGGGGUCAUAACCUUACCUGAUGUCCUGUUCAGUUGUCUUGUUCUCCUUCAAAUUGCCCUCCCC